rnacentral:lncRNA from 1 species
GUAAUACCUCUGUACCACAGGAUGGAGUUACAGACUUAACUUUAGAUUUUCUUGCCUUCCAGCCAAACUAUUAAUGUUGUUUUUAUGUGCUUUCUUAAUACUUUGCACUUGCAACAGAUGUGUUCAACUAUAUUGGAGAAGAUUCUUCCCAAUUGCAAAGGGCAGAAUGAGGUUAUUCCUGGCACAAAUCCUGCUUGCUUUGUAUAUUGUGGGUACAAGUUGUACAUGGUGCUUGUGUCACCGUUCUACAUGCUUUAAUCAGUUAUGAUUAGGGAUUUAUGGACAACAGAGCAGAUAGACACAGUAAGAACCACCCAAAACCUUGGGGAAGUUGCAAUAAAGACUCUUUCUUCUACCAGCUUGCCCAUAUCUCCGUUAGAAUAGAAUUUUCCUCCUCACACCCAGACCUCUAAUAUCUUCAUUUACCUUAAAGAGAGCUGUCUACUUCCUCCUCUGUGCCUUCAUUCGGUUUGUACAUAAUUACAACCCUCAUCCACUUUGGGCUUUUCCUUGCUCCACGUGGCAUCCAAAGGAAAUUCCCUUUUUUCAGAAGUCCGGAAUACGCUGAGUAAAACAACCCCCAGAAGUGAUGGACUUGAUCCACGUGGAUGGGAUGGUGCAAUAAUAGUGUCAUGUAGGCAGUGCAAUGUCACUGAACUGUUGGUUGGAAGUGAUAACAAGCUCAAGUUCGGAGCAGCAAUGGAAAAUCUCCCAGGGAUGAUUGCUGCUAGGAGUGAAGUGAAAGUAUAAAGACUGGGAGGGAUGCUCGUCAAUGGAAAAUGCACUGUGUGGUCAAAGAGCUGAACAGUCUACAUAGAGCUCUAUUUGUGAAUUCUGCACUGAAGAAAUAGAUGCAUGCUUCUGUGAAGGAUGAAAUGUUGGGCAAAAAAACAGCAAUCUCUCCAACUUGUAGAAGGCUUCUCCAUAUCCGUAUUUUUAAUUAGAAAGCUGUCUAGCAGGGAGUUGCUCCAGAUCAUUGAUGGAGGGAAUUACCGUGGAGUGGUGUGUGCUGCAAAUCUAUGCUUUAGUUGGCUGAGUGCUAACUUUUCCAAGCAGAAAAGUCCUAAAGCAGCAACUGCUAAAGGGCAGGCUAAUUUGGUAAGACUUUAUUUCUGCCUAUAGUCACUUGUAGCAUUUUCAUGUCACCACUUUCCAUUAAAAUGUCAUCUUUU